UCAAACUGGAGAUGGCGACCGGCGCACGGGUGAGUAACACGUAUCCAACCUGCCGAUAACUCGGGGAUAGCCUUUCGAAAGAAAGAUUAAUACCCGAUGGCAUAAUAGAACCGCAUGGUUUGAUUAUUAAAGAAUUUCGGUCAUCGAUGGGGAUGCGUUCCAUUAGGUUGUUGGCGGGGUAACGGCCCACCAAGCCUUCGAUGGAUAGGGGUUCUGAGAGGAAGGUCCCCCACAUUGGAACUGAGACACGGUCCAAACUCCUACGGGAGGCAGCAUG
rnacentral:rRNA from 1 species